UACGAAGGGUGCAAGCGUUACUCGGAAUUACUGGGCGUAAAGGGUGCGUAGGUGGCCCUAUAAGUCAGUGGUGAAAGCCUGCAGCUUAACUGUAGGAUUGCCAUUGAUACUGUAGGGCUUGAGUACUGAUGAGGUAGGCGGAAUUGAUAGUGUAGCGGUGAAAUGCAUAGAUAUUAUCAAGAACACCGAUUGCGAAGGCAGCUUACUAAGGAGUUACUGACACUGAGGCACGAAAGCGUGGGGAUCAAACAGG
rnacentral:rRNA from 1 species